ACUACAGCUCCGUUCCGUCGCUUCACCCGCCAUUUUGAUUUCUACUUUCGCGUGCAUUGCGUCACGGCGUUAGACUACCAUAUAAGUGACUUAAAUUAAGUGAAAAGACGUUUUAAAGUGUAAUAAACACAACAUAUUUUAAAUCCUAGGAAAUCAUAUGCAUGCCCAAGCCAUGAACCACUACGGUAAUCAAAGAGGUUUUGGAGGGCCGCCCCAGCCUCAGAGACAGGGCGGUCGCCGUGGAAAUAAUAGAGGUGGAUUUAGAGGACCCACACGUUUUGAUCAAAAUAAUCAAAAUCAGAGGAAUCAAAAUCAGCCGCAAGGAGGUCAACGCCCCAAUAACGAGCCUAAGCCAGCUCCCCAAGCUGAAAAGCCCCAGCAGCAGGCUCCACCACAGCAACAGCGUCCGCCGCAGCAGCAACAACAACCGCAACAGCAGCCUAGACCGCAGCAGACACCAGCGCAGCCGGCACCAGCUGCCACACCACAGAAGCAGGAUCCUCCGGCAGCAGCUCCACAGCAGCAGAAACCCGUCACCCCCAUCAAGCCUGCAGCUCAGGACAGUGUUGAUAAUGUGAUUGUCAUUGAUGAUCAGCCGCCGAAACCUGCCAACCUAAAUCAGCAGAAGAACAUGAAUGGAAACUUUGGAGGCAAUAAGCAAGGUGGCUGGCAGGGUGGAAACAAGCCAGGUGGCAACUUUAACCAAGGCGGCAACUUCCAACAAGGACCAAACGAGGGCCAGGGUGGAAACAAGCAAGGUGGCAACUUUAACCAAGGCGGAAACUUCCAACAAGGACCAAACCAGGGCCAGGGUGGAAACAAGCUAGGUGGCAACUUCCAACAAGGACCAAACCAGGGCCAGGGCGGAAACAAGCCAGGUGGCAACUUUAACCAAGGCGGCAACUUCCAGCAUGGACCAAACCAGGGCCAGGGCGGUAAAUUUGGUGGCAAUAAGAACUUCGGCCAGAACCAGGGCGGUCAAGGGGGACCUUUUGGGCAGAACAAGGGAGGCCCUGGUGGCCCGGGUGGCCCAGCUCGGAAUCAGCAGAGGCAAAGCAGAGGGCCCAUGCUGGAUAGUCAGGGAAAGCCAGUACAGAGAGAGGAACAAAUGCUCGCCAAUAAGUUGAAGGAUCUUGUGGGACCACUGGUCGACUUGGCACCCCUAGACCAGGCUGAACUUAAAUUCAAUGGCAGGAGCCGUCUGUACAUAGGCAAUUUCACGUCAGAUAUGACCGAAGAAGAAAUACUGGGCCUGUUCGCUCCCUACGGAGAGACUGCAGAAUUGUUCCUUAACAAGGAGAAGAACUUUGGAUUUAUUAAAGUGGACUACAGAGUAAACGCAGAGAAGGCCAAGCGCGAGUUGGACGGUAAAAUGCGUAACGGGCGAACAUUGAGAGUCAGAUUCGCGCCCCACAACAGCGCGGUGCGCGUCAAGAACCUGCCGCCGUUCGUGUCCAACGAGCUGCUGUACCGCGCCUUCGAGAUCUUCGGCAAGAUCGAGAGGGCCUACGUCAAGGUGGACGAGCGAGGGAAGUCCAUUGGUGAAGGCGUGGUGGAGUAUGCUAGGAAGCCCAGCGCUUUGGCUGCUAUUCGCAACUGCACUGAGCGAUGCUUCUUCUUGACCUCGUCGCUACGGCCAGUAAUUGUGGAAAGUUUUGAGGAACCCGAUGAGUUUGAUGGUUACCCAGAGAAAAACCUGCCCAAGAAGCACCCUGAUUUCCUGCGCGCCCGUGAGUACGGACCGCGCUUCUCCGAGGCCAACAGCUUCGAGCACGAGUACGGCACCAGGUGGAAGCAGCUGCACGAGCUGCACCGCCAGAAGGAGGAGGCCCUGAAGAAGGAGCUGGCUGCCGAGGAGGAAAAACUGGAGGCCCAGAUGGAGUACGCCAAAUACGAGCACGAGACCGAGCUGUUGCGCGAGCAGCUUCGCCAGCGCGAGCAGGACCGCGAGCGCCAGAAGCGGUCGUGGGAGCAGGCCGAGCGCGCCGCCGACGAGCGCCGCGAGCAGGAGCGCGCGCUGCUGCUGCGCCAGGAGGAAGACCUCACACAGCGCAUGCGCCACCAGGACGACGAGUUGCGCCGCCGCCAGCAGGAGAACACGCUCUUCGUGCAGGCCCAGCGACUCAACUCCAUGUUGGAUCGCCAGGAGCAAGGCAUGUUCGACCAACAGCAGCCUAUGGUAUCCGUAUUCAGCUAGAUGACGAGAUUAAUAGAAAAGGUUAGACGUGAACAAUCUUCGGUUUAAACAUUCGGGAUUGCAGUUACGCUCUGAAAUUGUUCAAGGAUGGACGGAGCUUGUGUGGACUGCGAGAAGAUCAAUGGAUAAAUAAUAUAAUAAAUGUACACAAAACUGAUUAAAGUAUAGCCCUUAAAGACGAUUUUAGUGAGCCUAGUCAGGUGCCAGUGGUCCAUGCGUCUUAAUUUAAAUAAAUUUAAACCAUUUAAACCUGUGCUUUUAUCCCAGUUCGGGCUACAGGCAAUAAUAUUAUAUAACUAUAGAUAAGUUACACUCUUACUUAGGGAGCACAAAACAUACUUCCAUAUUUAUUUCGUUACGAAUAAAUCGGUUUUUGUCGAUAAAUUUCCGCAUAAGCACCAUUCAUCUUUGUUACACUCGUUGUUAAAACAUAAGCUUAUCUCUUUCGGUGUGCGGGGAGCUUGUUAGCACGUGCACAGCUGUACAGUCGACGUCAGAUAUAUCGGAGCGGCCAAGGCGCUCACAAAUAUCUGUACACGCCUCUAUUGUCAAGCCGUUAGAGUGCGUGUUCAGAUAUUUGUGAGCACCUUGCCCGCUCUGAUAUAUCUGAUGGCGACUGUACCUUGCCUGGGCGCAUCUAAAGAGCAACAGUUCAAUUGUACAAUUUAAGUUCUUCAAUUUUGUAUCGCCUAUAACAUAAAUAACCUAUUUGGGGCCCAUUUCUCGAAUGAUAUUAGACUAAUAUUAUUAGUCCACGAACUGUUAAAUCCUAUGGGUUGUCAUGACAACACACUUAUAGAUAAGAUAAGAUAAAAUAAUAAUUUAUUUCAUUUCAAUCUUAGUUGGUAAAUACAUAGUGGUCGAGUCCCCCUAUUAGGUAUGAAGUACCUGUAUCGGGAGACCUCGCUCUUCCAGAAUUACAUUUUUUUUUUAAAUCUAUACUAAGAGAAGUAAAUAAAGUUAACAUUAACAUUAUAAAUUUAUAAUGAAACAUAAUAUUAGACUAUUAUCGUUCGAUAAAUGGGCCCCUGGAGUUAUAAUAUAAUUGUGUAGUUAUAAUAUCAGUGUCAGUGACGCAUGGACCACAGUUUGAAAGGUUAUAAGUACAGUUAGCUUAGUAAAUCGCCUCCAAAGUCUCAAACAAGUUCACUCUUUUCAAUAAGUUCGCAAUAAGGGUGAUAUAGCCGAAAUUGUUAACAAGAGUGGUGUAUUACUAUUUGUCCCCACCGGGCACAGAUGGGAAUAGGCGCCACAUAUCAAUCAUUCCCAUUUGUCGCGGCGUAUGUCGGCGGUCACGUGGGGCGGGGACAAAUGGGAAUACACCACAAGAGUCAAACAUAAACCUGACACAACAAGGCGAUGAAAUUGAUUAAAACUAAUCAGUAGUUAAAUUAAUUGUCUUUCAAUUUUAUUUUCAUAUAAAUUUUGCCUUCUCAUUAAUUAAUUAAUAUCACAUCCAUGUAGAUGUUGAAGAGACUAUAUUUUUGUAGUACAUUAAUUCGAAUUAUAACUGUAUACAGUUAGGAUAUCCGGUUGCUGUAUUAAUUUUAUGGUCAGGAGACUUGAUAUUAGUAAGUUAAGCAUUUCCAAUUAAAACAUUAAUAAUAAGUAGUAAAGAACACUUUGACUGAUUUUAUUAAGUUUGUUAAUAACAUUUAUUAUUGUGAUACGUUGAUAAUGCAACUGUGAUACUUGACUUUUUUCUUACUUCAUUACAAUUUUGAUAUGUCA